CUUUUGUCUAAACAAAUAUGAUAACGUUUUAUUUAUGAAAUGUAUGAACUGUUUAAAUUAGUAACAUUAAAAAGAAGCACAAACAUCAAGGAUUGAAACUACGUUGUAUUCACCUUUCAGUUUGUAACUGCAUGUCAUUGUUUGAACGUGGUGGUGAAGUGAAUCUGUUGAAGGAGGAGAUCCGCUGCUGAGAGAAGAAUUGAUGUUUUUUGGAACAUGGUUUGUGGAAAAGUAGCGACUGUGGCAACGUGAUCCCUCAGCUGUUAAUUAUACAAUUGUCGGAUCUCUAGCGGUUACCUGUCAGCGCUAGAACGAUACCCGGAAGCGGGACCGGUACCGCGCAUGCGCGUGUUUACGUCACUUCCGCUAAAACGGUUUGUUCGUUUGUUUUGGAGUUUUUUUUUUUUUCUGUGACAGGCCACGGCCUCCGGAGGACGCAGCCGCUGAAUUUAGACAGCUAUAGCAUAGUUAUGCCGCACGUCUGUCACGGCGUCUGUGACGGGAUUUCCAAUCCAGUAUUGGACAACACCGAUUCCGUUACGUGUUUCCCAGCAUGCAUUGCGGCUCAACUGGAUCGUUGGUAAAUAAAGUUUUAUUAAAGUUAUACGAACUUUUUCGCUUUUUAUUUACAAGUAAUACAUAGUAUAUAAUUCAAGUUUUCCAAAGCACACUGUUAGCGCACUGGAAGUGAAACCGUUAGUUAACAACUAAGGACAUUCAGCCGACUAUAUAAGGAAGUCGGUGAUAAUGCUACUAUUAAGAAGCGGGAUCCCGGACGUGUCCGUCAGAGCGGAGGACCACGGAGGUUGGCCACCUAUAUCCUGAGGGACCGGGGUCCGUCGUUCCGAUCGACCGUGACGAGAUCAUCAAAAGAACCUGGGUGGACUGAAUCCGGUGAGAGCUUUCAAUUUUUUUUUUUUUUUUUUUCGUUCCCUUUCUCCUCCUCUCAUUUAUUCUAUUUUAUUCUUAUUUUAAAAGAAAAAAGGGGUUUGGUGUUUGAAAGCCUGUGAGAUAAGACGUCUAUCAAGACCAGGGAUUGAACUGUGACCAUAAUUAAACGAGAUCAACGAAAACAACGUAAAGUUUACCUGUGCGUAGAAUGCGUAAUUAGAUAAUGCCUUUGUGAGCUACGGCGAGACCGAAGGAGUUUUCUGUGAAUUUGGUAAUUUAUUAUCGGAUAACACAGAUCAAAUAUUGUGAGUUUGUUAUGGAAUACCAGUACUGUGACCUAUAAUUAAACGAGACCAACGCAAAGUUUGCCUGUGCGUAAAAUAAGCAUUGGUGAUGCCUUUGUGAGCUACGGCGAGACCGAAGGAGUUUAUCAGGAAAAACCAAACCCGAAAAGUUGUGAGUUUAUUAUACGGAAGACCAGGGAAACGGUAAAAGCAGAAUGGAGAAUCCCGGCGUGGACUCCAAAUUAAUUAGGUUUAUGCUGAAUGUUGUGAUUUUGUGAACUAUUAAGUGCAAAGAAUAUGGGUUCCCUGAAGGUGGAUCUUUGAGCAAGAGCCAACUUCAGAAACUCAGAGAGAAUGGGUGAAAAAAAAAAAAACAAAACCACCCAAUACCUCUGAUUGAUGAGCAACAAUCAGACAGAUGGGAUAAGUAAAACAGAAGCUACUUCUUUUCCUCUCUUUGUGUUUCUCUGUGCAGGCUCCAUGGGGAACCAGAGCCGACCUGUCGAGUGGACUCCAUCCCUCCCCU
rnacentral:lncRNA from 1 species